GGACAGAAAGACCCUAUGAAGCUUUACUAUAGCUUGGAAUUGGGUUCGGGCUUUAAUUGCGCAGGAUAGGUGGGAGACUAUGAAGUAGACCUUGUGGGGUUUAUGGAGUCACUGGUGAGAUACCACUCUAUUAGAGCUAGGAUUCUAACCUUUACCCAUUAACUGGGAGAGGAACAGUUUCAGGCGGGCAGUUUGACUGGGGCGGUCGCCUCCUAAAUGGUAACGGAGGCGCACAAAGGUUUCCUCUGAACGGGUAGAAAUCGUAUCUAGAGUGUAAAGGCAUAAGGAAGCUUGACUGUGAGACCUACAAGUCGAGCAGGGACGAAAGUCGGUCUUAGUGAUCUGACGGUGCUGAGUGGAAAGGCCGUCGCUCAACGGAUAAAAGUUACUCUAGGGAUAACAGGCUGA
rnacentral:rRNA from 1 species